GACUCUCGGCAACGGAUAUCUCGGCUCACGCAUCGAUGAAGAACGUAGCAAAAUGCGAUACUUGGUUGAAUUGCAGAAUCCCGUGAACCAUCGAGUUUUUGAACGCAAGUUGCGCCCGAAGCCAUUCGGUUGAGGGCACGUCUGCCUGGGCGUCA
rnacentral:rRNA from 11 species